GCCGGUGUAGCUCAGUUGGCAGAGCAGGAGUUUUGUAAACUUCAGGUCGGGGGUUCGAGUCCCUCCGCCGGCACCA
rnacentral:tRNA from 1 species